rnacentral:rRNA from 1 species
UGAGGAAUAUUGGUCAAUGGGCGUAGGCCUGAACCAGCCAGGUAGCGUGAAGGAUGACUGCCCUAUGGGUUGUAAACUUCUUUUAUAUGGGAAUAAAGUUUUCCACGUGUGGAAUUUUGUAUGUACCAUAUGAAUAAGGAUCGGCUAACUCCGUGCCAGCAGCCGCGGUAAUACGGAGGAUCCGAGCGUUAUCCGGAUUUAUUGGGUUUAAAGGGAGCGUAGGUGGACAGUUAAGUCAGUUGUGAAAGUUUGCGGCUCAACCGUAAAAUUGCAGUUGAUACUGGCUGUCUUGAGUACAGUAGAGGUGGGCGGAAUUCGUGGUGUAGCGGUGAAAUGCUUAGAUAUCACGAAGAACUCCGAUUGCGAAGGCAGCUCACUGGACUGCAACUGACACUGAUGCUCGAAAGUGUGGGUAUCAAACAGG